GAAAGAGAAAUGGCUGCCCCUGCACCACUUACCGCGAAGGAGGCUCAAGGCUGGGGGGCCCCUCUGCCUUCCAGUGACCGCCCGUGUCACAUCCUGACCCGCUCAGCAGGAGAACACAGCAGGUCCCUCCGACCGCAGUCGGCCUCUCCAGCCUGCCAUGCCUCUGGCCAUGAGGCGACCCGCUGGAGUGAUGGAUUCCCGUCACUACCACCCACAGGGCGAGGGGGUGCAUUGGUCUGCUUGGGCCGCUGUAACAAAAUGCCACAGCCUGGAUGAGUGACUGACAUUGCUUCCCCACCGUUCUGGAGGCUGGAGGCCCGAGAUCGAGGUCCCUGACACUAUUUCAGUGAUGCCAGAGCCCAGGAGGAGUCGACCAAGCCCCAGCGUGGCCAUAAGCACCUUCGCAGGACCACGGAGUCGCUGCAGGUGUUCAGCCCUGUUGAGAGUGGGAGUCGGUGUCGAUGGUCACAGCUCAGUAACUCAUCGUCACCAGCGAGUACCACAGAGCAGACACAACUGCACUUCUCUGUAGAGCCUCCAGUCGAUACUGAGAGCCACUGGGGCGUCUGACACCCAAGGGUGCAGACAUUCACUCCAAGUCCAGAGACCGCGCCCUUUCUAAGGCCCUGUCUCACAGUCGCCCCGUGCUCAUUGUGCCGGAUGUUUCCACAGCCACAGAGACGGUGCGUGAAGGUGG
rnacentral:lncRNA from 10 species